rnacentral:RNase_P_RNA from 1 species
GAGGAAAGUCCGGGCUCCACGGAACGCGGUGCCGGGUAACGCCCGGCGGGGGCGACCCCAGGGAAAGUGCCACAGAGAGCAGACCGCCGAUGGCUCCGAAAGGACCACAGGCAAGGGUGAAAGGGUGCGGCAAGAGCGCACCGCGCAGCGGGCAACCGAAGCGGCACGGCAAACCCCACCGGGAGCAAGACCGAAUAGGCACGCGAUGGGCUUAGGCCCGGGGCAGGAACCGGCCCUUUUCGCGUGCGGGUUGGUUGGUUGAGGCCGUCGGCAACGCCGGUGGUAGAGGAAUGAUCGUCACUGUCCUUCGGGGCAGAACAGAACCCGGCUUA